GCGGGUGUGGUAUAAUGGUAGCACGAAAGCUUCCCAAGCUUUAGACGAGGGUUCGAUUCCCUUCGCCCGCACCA
rnacentral:tRNA from 1 species